AUCCAUCAGCAAAGAAUGCUGCCUGCAUCUCUCCAUCAUUAGCCAGUCUUCAAAAGAAGCAAGAAGACCGGGGGAUGGGCGCCAGAUGGCUUCUGAUGCAUCUCUGUCAUUCAGAUCUCCUCCACCAGGCAUGUCCUAGUGUAGACGAAAAUGAACGGCUGUUGACUAAGCUCCAGCAGCCUCUCUUAUCAAGUGGAUCAUGUUUCCCUGGGGAUUUCAGAGUGUCCCUAAACAUUGUAUAAGUCCACAAUGUUCUUGCAGCCACACUCAGUGGCUCCUUUGGAAAGGUACUUGGGCUCUCAGCUAAAUAAAUUCCUUCAAGGACAGUUAUUGGGGA
ensembl:processed_transcript BC006965 uncharacterized LOC110305879